ACAUCAGCCUUAGACUCUGAGCCCAAGCAAGGUGAUUACAAUUAUGAUGAUCUAUUAUUCCACUGUGAAGUUAGGUAGGGGGUCUAUUGAGAAGUUCAGGAAGAUCUUGGUCAGGGAAAUCAUCUUCUCCAACUAACUUGCCAAGCCUGAUUCCUGAUUUUACCUUUCACUAUAUAACAUACCUACCCACUCUUUAUACCCAAGUGUCUUACCCAGGGGUGAAGAACUGAAACAUCUUCCUGAACCAGGUAAGUAACUUCAAUGCGUGCUCUAUUCCUGAGCCUUAGACAACUUCAUCCUGUUGGAAUGUAGAUUUAAUGUAGCCAGGCUCUGUUGUUGUAGUAGAGAUUCCAGAAAUAGAAAUAUUUGGUUUACCAGUGUUUAGAUCUCCUGACAGUCUUUGUUCUCAUCUGUCCUUGUUUUUUGUGAAUUCUGUUUGCAUCUGUAUCUCUGCUUAAUUUCCACCACGUUGGUCCCAAACCCUCCC
rnacentral:lncRNA from 1 species